AUCAUGCCCACAGCAUUUAAGCCUCAGUCCCUCUUCAAUCCAUGCCAGAUUGUCUUGUGUUCUCCAAGCCUUCAGCCGUCUUUCAAGCCAAUGACACACGGAGGAGGUUUCAAGAUCACCAGCUGAGACUGCAGAUGGAUGUUUGGAUUUUCAGGGGUCUCCCCUCACCCUGCCAACACAGGAAAGAUGAAAUCCCAUGAAUUUCUGCAAGGUCGGCCUCCGCUGCUGAAACCACGCCCACAACUCUCUCUGCCGUCUGGAGCUUCAGCCAUUGUUCAGAAGCGGUGACUGUUUCCACAGCGAGGGGACAGUAAACAUUAGGUUUUGCAUCGACAUUUACCCUCAUAAAAGGAUCAGUGCCCAGAGUACGGACCCGGCAACUGCACAUGAGCGGCUCUAUUAGUACCGUAAUACAUUUUUCUUGUGUUUAUGAUUUCAGAUCUUCCAAGCAAUGCACCUGAAACUGUUCAACGACACAUUCAGAAGAAGCACGGUCCUUCCUUGAGCCAGCAAUAGUGCAUAAAUGUUAUUUAUAUAUUUUAACAAUAAAGUUGCCAU